rnacentral:tRNA from 1 species
GCCUGGGUGGCUUAGUCGGUUAAGUGUCUGACUUCGGCUCAGGUCAUGAUCUCAGGGUUCGUGGGUUCACGCCCCAUGUUGGGCU